CAAAUUGUGAAACGGCCAUUUUCUACUUUAAUAUUGGUUAUAAGAGAUGUGACAUUCUCGUUUUCUAUUGGUUAUAAGUGAUGUGACAUUCUCGGUAAAUUAAUCCAAUCGAUUAUUUCCUCAUUUGUUAAUUUUAAAGUAAUAUACUAACCUU